AGAAGUUAAUAUCCGCUGACGCUGGGGUUCGCGCUGUGGGAGCGUUUCCUAAACGGAAUUGAGCAAAGCAGCAGGUGGCCUUGGUGCAAGUAAUUUCCCCUAUUUUGGUCGCAUCCUCAUUGUGGGAAAGUCUCAAGAGGUGAAGCUGAGGUGGAGCUGCUGGAUCAAGUUGCUGUGUGCAUCUGCUGCCAAGCUGCACGGGGCCCCGCCCCAUCUGUCAAGACAGCGCAUGGAAUUGACAGAGCAGCAUCUCACAGCUGAUCUGUAUUCCCGUUGAGAGAGUUCACAGCUGUUAGUCAUCUCAUCUCAUCCUGGUUCCUGAUUUAACCUUGGACCUUCCACUGGUUCAAGGCCAGAAUCUUUUGUUGCCUUUGUUUGCUUUGCAACUGUUACAAACUGCUUUGCUACUGCUACACAGCUUCCAACUGCUGACAUCUUCUGCAGUCCAUCUGAAGAACCUCUGUGUUCCUCCGGGUUGGAACCGGGUUGCCACGGGUUUCCAGCUGUGCCAUGCCAUCGCACCCAGCCGCGCCGCAGGCUCACUUCCCUGAUUCCAGUCCCUGUCUUGUGGCCCUAUCAGUCCCGUCUAUCCAGUCCUUGUGGUCCAUCCUCUGUUGUCCUUGUUUAAUAAACUCUUGUUUAAAUCUC